CUGUUGCUCACUUUGGCUCGCCGCACCGUCGUCCGUCACCGGCGCCGGUGUUGGCUUAUACCUAACCACCACCACCAAUUUAUGCAUAAUGAUACGUUGGAUACGCCUAUGGUAAGGGAUUUGGGCAACGGUCAAUGAAUUGGUUGAAUCGAACCUAAACAAAGAAAGAACCCUAGCCUUUCUAAGUCAAAUUAAAUGGCGCUCAAUGAAGAUCAACUCCUAACACAAUGGGGGUUUCGUUCCUUAACCUAAAUGCUACGCCUUGGUGCAGUCAGAGCAAGAAAACGAUAAUGAAUUGUAAAUGACAUACCAGAGAAGAUGAUCGUAGAAUUCGCCGGUUAGCAGGAGAUUAAGGUUAAGCUGAAAUGGUUUUUUUGAUGACUUAUUGUCCAAGUUGCAAGUUGAUUCAAAGUGACCUUGGCUUGGCUUGGAAUGAUGAAGCAUGAAGGUUAGUGGUCUUGAUGUGCAAACUGGCUGUAGCAGGUAGCAUUAGAAUGGAUUUGCCUUGAAGCUUGAGUGAUGACCUGCUGAAUAGGUUCACUCCUCAACAUUAACUUGGGUUUAGGGAUUGUCUUGGUUCAUGUUGAUGUAAGGCACUUUUCCCAUGGUUACUUGGAUGAAUGAAAGUGUGGCAGAUGGUUUUGUUGCAGAUUUGGAACAAGGUGCUGUUUUGAUGUGUGUUCCACUGCUGUGAAGAUGGUGUGUAGGUCAUGAGCUACUCACACUUGGACAGGUUAUGAAGAUGUAACCUCCAGGCCAGUUCAGUGGAGCAUGAUACUACCCUCUGACUCAAUCAAAACCAAAGGCCAUGUAGUUUGGAUCAAGGCUGUUGGUUCUUGUUAGAGAUGUUGCAGGAACUGCUGGUAACUGCAGGCAUUGCAUUACCCUGAUGCAGAUGAAGCAUGGUGAAUUGUUUUGGAUUCUUACAUUGCUUGAGUGUUGUUUGUGGUCAUGGCAGUGUAUUAGUUGGAUGACUUACCAAGGACACAUUCUUGCUGAUCCCAGGUGCAUUUCAAGUUUUGAUGCAAAAUGUUGGCCAUACUUUGAGUGUGUUGCAGGACUGUACAUUGCUAGCAGGAUUUGGUUCAAUCUCACAAAAUGGACAUAAUACAUUGAUGCUUCAACUGCAACAAGCAUUGUGGUUUGGUAUGUGGACUUCUUUUGUGAUUCUUGGUGACUGUUAUGCUGUAUUAUGGGCAGGGAGUUUGGUUGCAGCUCUCAUGAGACAAUGUACACUACCAUGCUCUUGUGGUACUGCUGUAGAGUAUUAGGCCAAGCAAUGUUUUGCUGCAGCUGGCAUGUGUUACAGGUUUAUAUGUUAGGCCCAUGUGUCAUGACUGAAUUUGUUUUUGUUAGUCUGUUGCUACAGGAAGGUUUCCAAGUUGCAGCUUUUAUUCAACUAAUGAUCAAUUGGUUAUGGUAAGGCAAUAUGGUGCAACAUGAUAUGACAUGGGUUGUUGCAGCAGUAGGGCCAUCAUACUGCUUCCAUCUAUAUCCAUGGUUUUAUUGCACAUGUGUGAAGUUUUUGUUGCAGCAAAAGGAUAAGAAAAGGACAAUGGUUGGAUUGUUAGAGGACUCCUUGGUCAAUGAUUAGGGGCAGGCCAAUGGCAAAUGGUUAAUAGUUCAAAAGGCUAAAAGGACAUGGUGCACCACAUACAUUAAUUGCAAUGGAAGCAACCAAGAAAUCAUCAACAAACAUGAAGAUUGGAUGUUCAUUGAAGCAAAAAGGACAGGCCAAGUUUGGAUAGUCAAGGGCAAGUGAGGGUUGACUUUGGUCAAAGUUGACCAAAAAGUUAACUGUUGACCAAAGUCAACAAAUGGUCAAAAAUAUAUUUUCUUUGUGUUUCCUUUGUAAAUGGACAAUGGUUUAUUGAUUAGGGUGAAAAUUUAGGGCAUUAGGUUUUGGGAUGACUUUGGUCAAAGUUGACGAAAAAGUCAACUAUUGCCCAAAGUCAACAAUUUGGUCAAAAUGUCAAAUUUUGUAUUUUCUUGUAUGGAAUCAUAUGUAAUGGUUUAAAAUGACAUGAGAUGGAUUGAAAUGGUUU